UCAGGUUCGAGUGCUGUCUCAAGUAUCUCUUCUUGAGGUGCAAGGAAUGCAUCUUCCUGAGUUUAGCGUCUUUGGUGCCUAUUUCUGACUCUCACAGCUGUACUUGGAGCAUAAUCUGGCCUAUAGUAAAUAUUUUAAAGUUUAUCCUGGAAGAUGAGCUUCAUCAAAUAGAUGCAUAUUCUGUAGAAGAGAGAAUGCCUUUUGUUAGACAUCUGAACGAAGUGCAGAGGAUCAUCUCUCCACAAUGACUCUCAGAUGCAAAGGAAAAUCCUCGACCUCUUCUUUUAGCACCUGUUAAAAGGUUUGGACUUCUGGGAUGUUCUUCAAAUCAACCUGCAGAAUGGCCACAGCUUGGAGGGAGACCUGCCCUUUUGCCACCAGGUGAGUGACAAAGACCUGUAGCUGUUUGGUUUAAUAACUGUAAAUCAUUUCUGCUUAGAACCUGAUGCUGACAACUACACAGCUACUCUAGCUUGAGAACUUAAAUCAUUUAAAUAAUGAUUUAAAGGAAUUUUCAUUUAAAUAGUGAAAACAGCAGCCAUGUCAGCCUGAAAAGUACUGUUUCUAUAUUGAAAAUAAUUCCUUCCUUCCCUUCCUUCCCUUCCACCCUCCCUUCCUCCCAUCCCUGCCCCUUAUUCAAAAAUUCACCACCAUGUGUUUAUGCUAGAAGGGACUAGCAUAACCAUGCUUUCAGGCCAAAGACCUUUCACUGAUGAAAGAGGGGAUUGAUUUUUAGAUGUAAGCAUAUAUGGGAAGGAUUACCAAAUCCUAAAACUGCCUUACAGUGUUUGUUGUUUUUUGUCACAGCCAUUUGUGUUAAACCACUGCAGCACCAAUGGGGAGCUUCAGCUAAGAAGACACUGACAGCACUGAGAACGUGGAAGUCCUGUAACCACCAUCACACCCUCUGUCACCUGCGAGAAAUGAAAAAUUGAAGAAGGCUUGUCCUUUAAAACAAAUGCUCAUGAAUGUCACUGCUGCACCUUUGUGAUUUUAAAUUCAAGUUGUAAACAGUCACAGAAUAAAGUUGUGUGUUUUACUCA
rnacentral:lncRNA from 1 species